rnacentral:rRNA from 1 species
UUGAAAGGGAAACGAUUGAAGUCAGUCAUGCUAGCGAGGAAUCAACUUGGUGGUGUGAGUCUCUCAUCUCCUCCGUGUGCACUUCCUCGUCUGGCAGGUUAGCAUCAAUUUUGAUUGUCAUCAAAUAAUUGGGGUAAUGUGACUUCGCUUCGGUGGAGUGUUAUAGACCCCGGUGGAUGUGGCGAUUGGGAUUGAGGAUUGCAGCGGAUGCCUCUUGGCUAGUCACCUGAUUCCUGGCUGUCACCUCGCUUUCGACAGCUUGCUGACGAUUGUGGGACUCGGCGGUCUAGGUGUCGGUCUGAUCUUAAAUUCGUUAAGGAUGUUGACGUA